GGUCCUCCCUGACGGCCACGCCCAGCAGGCUGACCAUGCGGCCCAGCUGGAUGAAGAGCUCCUGCUUCAGGUCCUCAAAGUGCACCACCAGCACCUUCUUGCCAAACUUGAGCCAGUCCAGCGUUUUAUUACCUUGCUGUGGUGAUCUGGCAGGGGGACUGCCACCAGCUUGGGGAAGAUGUGUUAGGAUGGUCUGACUUGAAGGCAGGCUACAACAGAAUGUGGGUGUUUGCUUGGGGAGCCCCAGAGAGGACCUCAAAGAGCCACCAGCCAGCCCUGGAGCUGCUGAAAUGGACAGAACGAGAAGCCGGGAUCUGCCUGCUCCUGAGUUCCCUGCUGCAUCCCUGCUGGUUGAGCACACGGGCUGCUCUUAUGGCAGAGGCCCAGGUGGAUGAAGGCGGGACUCCGUUGCCCAGGAGCAUGCAGGAUUCGAACCCUGUCUAUCCAGACUGAGCCUGGCUCCUGCCCUCCUACAAGCCCUUCUAGAGCUCCUGUUUGGAUCAGCUCCUUCAGGUGUCAUCUAAGACUCGGGGUCUGUGCACAGCCCACUUUGGAGGCAGACUGGCAGCAUUCACGACCCACUUCCUCUCUACGUUAGCUGUGACAGUGUGGGGAUCUCAGUCGGUCUCCUCGUGGCUCAGUUUACCCAUCUGCAAAACAACUGUGCUAAGACCUGCAUCCUGCAUGUACAGAUGGAAUGGAAGCACACAGCCAAGGACCGCGGGCCUGGGAACCAGGAGGUCCUCCCUCAAUACUGACUGCUGUCACAAGGACUGUUGAUGCAGAUGCCCUGGCGUCACCAAGAUGCACCCCCUCAUGUCCCAUCAGCUGGGUCAGAGCUUCCCACUGACAACACUCGAGUGCCCCAGGCUGCUUCAGCAACAGCUGUUCGCCUACCCCCCCCCAACCCCGGAUUCCUCCCUGGGGGCUCCUGAACUACUACAUCGGGAAGAAUAAAAACAGCCCUGAUGAUGAUGAGUACAGGAUCCCCUUCACCAUGGGUCACGAAGGCACGCUGAGCCCUGGACCAUGGGUCACGGCGCCGGUUUCGCCGAACUGUCACCCGCGAGCGCCUAGCAGGGUCCCGCCGGCCCCUCUGCGCUCCCUCCUCUUGUCCGGAGGAACCGGGGCCUGAUGAAUAGCCUAACUGCGCUUAAUUCCCCGUGGAAUCAUUAAACACAGUCUGUUUCAUUAAAGAGA